GAUACACACGAGUACAUCAACUCCAAUCUCAAUCGCUUCAACCGUAAUGCUGCAAAGAACUACAGGUACUGCUGCUCACCAACAAAGAUGAUCCACAUUUCCACUCUUCCUCAGGACAUCACUGAAGAGGAGAUAGUGAGCCAUUUGGAGGAGCAUGGCACCAUUGUCAACACCAAACUCUUUGAGAUGAAUGGGAAGAAGCAGGCUCUUGUUAUGUUUGAAACUGAAGAGCAGGCCACUGAAGCACUAGUGUGCAAACACGCGAGCUCACUUGCUGGGUCAAUAAUCCGUAUUUCCUUCUCCCAGCUACAAUCAAUU
rnacentral:misc_RNA from 1 species